rnacentral:rRNA from 1 species
GAUGAACGCUGGCGGCGUGCCUAAUACAUGCCAGUCGAGCGAACAGACGAGGAGCUUGCUCCUCUGACGUUAGCGGCGGACGGGUGAGUAACACGUGGAUAACCUACCUAUAAGACUGGGAUAACUUCGGGAAACCGGAGCUAAUACCGGAUAAUAUAUUGAACCGCAUGGUUCAUUAGUGAAAGACGGUUUUGCUUUCACUUAUAGAUGGAUCCGCGCCGCAUUAGCUAGUUGGUAAGGUAACGGCUUACCAAGGCAACGAUGCGUAGCCGACCUGAGAGGGUGAUCGGCCACACUGGAACUGAGACACGGUCCAGACUCCUACGGGAGGCAGCAGUAGGGAAUCUUCCGCAAUGGGCGAAAGCCUGACGGAGCAACGCCGCGUGAGUGAUGAAGGUCUUCGGAUCGUAAAACUCUGUUAUUAGGGAAGAACAAAUGUGUAAGUAACUAUGCACGUCUUGACGGUACCUAAUCAGAAAGCCACGGCUAACUACGUG